ACGAAGGGUGCAAGCGUUACUCGGAAUUACUGGGCGUAAAGCGUGCGUAGGUGGUGGUUUAAGUCCGUUGUGAAAGCCCUGGGCUCAACCUGGGAACUGCAGUGGAUACUGGAUCACUAGAGUGUGGCAGAGGGUAGUGGAAUUCCCGGUGUAGCAGUGAAAUGCGUAGAGAUCGGGAGGAACAUCAGUGGCGAAGGCGACUGCCUGGGCCAACACUGACACUGAGGCACGAAAGCGUGGGGAGCAAACAG
rnacentral:rRNA from 1 species